rnacentral:rRNA from 1 species
UUCCAGACUCCUACGGGAGGCAGCAGUAGGGAAUCUUUCACAAUGGGCGAAAGCCUGAUGGAGCAACGCCGCGUGCAGGAUGAAGGCCUUCGGGUUGUAAACUGCUUUUAUAAGCGAGAAAUAUGAUGGUAACUUAUGAAUAAGGAUCGGCUAACUACGUGCCAGCAGCCGCGGUAAUACGUAGGUGGCAAGCGUUAUCCGGAUUUACUGGGUGUAAAGGGCGUGUAGGCGGGAAAGCAAGUCAGAUGUGAAAACCAUGGGCUCAACCUGUGGCCUGCAUUUGAAACUGUUUUUCUUGAGUACUGGAGAGGCAGACGGAAUUCCUAGUGUAGCGGUGAAAUGCGUAGAUAUUAGGAGGAACACCAGUGGCGAAGGCGGUCUGCUGGACAGCAACUGACGCUGAGGCGCGAAAGCGUGGGGAGCAAACAGGAUUAGAUACCCGCGUAAUA